rnacentral:rRNA from 1 species
UACGUAGGGUGCGAGCGUUAAUCGGAAUUACUGGGCGUAAAGGGCGCGUAGGUUGUUAUUUAAGUGAGAUGUGAAAUCCCCGGGCUUAACCUGGGAACUGCAUCUUAUACUGGGUAACUGGAGUGCAAUAGAGGGUAGUGGAAUUUCCGGUGUAGCGGUGAAAUGCGUAGAUAUCGGAAGGAACACCAGUGGCGAAGGCGGCUACCUGGAUUGGCACUGACACUGAGGCGCGAGAGCGUGGGGAGCAAACAGG